CCUCUCGUUCUUCCUUUAACGGACAGCCAGAAACGUUUUAAGGGCUUACAGGAGCCAGAGACAAAUCCAGCGUUGACUUUGGAGGCCUCGUGCGGCGAGAUCGCGAACCAACACCGUGCGCGCGAGCGCAAGAGCAGGAAAGUUGGGUCAAGUCAGUUUGACAAAGACGAACAAUCGAUCGCACUGUCCUUGUUUUAUUCACUCGGGCAUUUCGCCGGCCGAUACACGGCGAGAAAAUGCUUUCCAGACUUUUGGCAUCUUCCUUGAACUAUCCCUGAGGACCUUACACAGCCAGAUUUUACAAUCCGGCCGUCCAAAAUUUAUAAUAUAUAAAUAAAAUAUCAACCGUACCAGGAAUUGCAGCGAGUCAGGUGGAAUACCAUUUUACAAGAAGCAAUAUUUUGCCUUAUUGACGUAAUGACCAUGAACUUGUUAUAGUUACUUGUUAUAUAUCUUCCUACAACUAUUUCCGAGAUCUCUACAGAGUUAGAUUUUACAAAUAGGCUGUCAACAAUUUAUUAUACAUAAAUAAAGUAUCAGCUGUACUAAAUUGCAGCGAGUCAGGCGGAAUACAAUUUUAUAAGAACAAAUAUAUUGUCUCGUUGACAAUAUAUAUAACCGCCAAAUUAUUAUGGUAUCUUCCUUGAACUAUC